UACGUAGGGGGCAAGCGUUGUCCGGAUUUAUUGGGCGUAAAGAGCGUGUAGGCGGUUAGGUAGGUCCGUUGUGAAAACUCGAGGCUCAACCUCGAGACGCCGAUGGAAACCAUCUGACUAGAGUCCGGAAGAGGAGAGUGGAAUUCCUGGUGUAGCGGUGAAAUGCGCAGAUAUCAGGAGGAACACCAAUAGCGAAGGCAGCUCGCUGGGACGGUAUUGACACUGAGGCGCGACAGCGUGGGGAGCAAACAGG
rnacentral:rRNA from 1 species